AAAUUAAAAAUAGCUUUGUUUGCUGUCUCCCGACCGACCCUAAAAAAACGCUGCGCUUCGAAAAAUUUUAUUUGCUCUCGCCGACCAUUUUUUUUUUUUCUUUUUUUUUGUGCCGCAUAUUUUUACCGAUAUCCGUUCAAUAACGGCGUGUAGUAUUCUGGUUCCCGCGUAUUAUUCGUCACGUGUAUCGACUAUCAAGUACCGCCGGGUAAAAGUCGAUUGUGUACACUUCCGUUACAAUUUUGCAAAACGAAAGUUAGAAGAUCUUCAAGAAGACGAGUAUUUUAUCAUCUCGUCAACAUUUAUUAUUACGUUUAUUCAACUUUGUUGAAAAAUAACCUCCACGAGAAUGAAUUGGUCUGGGCAUGGGCCGAUCUGUCGAAUGACGUCGAGGAUUUUUAUCCGAAAAAAUCGGACGUUCUUACGGGCUUUAAGAAUAGUCUUCUAGUGGCUCAAAAUGCAAGGCACUGAAUGCGGAUAAACCAAGAGAAUAAAUUGACAGGGAAACAUGAUCUCUAAAACACAACCUUGAGAAAUUUGAUUAAAGCUGUGUUUCAGUCAUUACAGUUGAUGGAGAUGCUCUGCAAGGGAGAGUGUUUGUAUGACUGCAGAUGUCAUGCCAAUCUCAAGUGGAGUUCCCUUACUGUGCCUUCAACAUUGGACGACCAGAUAUUUGUGCCCAUUGUGAUGAGCCAGAAGCACAGAGAAAUCCAGAACUGUUAACAAAGUUUAGGAUUGUACUUCCAGUUUAUGAGCAAUGCAUCAAUGUCCACAAGAAAGACAUACCCCAUAGAUGUCCUAUAAAAAAUGAAUACUGUGAACCUAAAUUUUGUUGGUAUACUGUGGCUUAACUGUUUACUUGUCUGAAGUUGCAUAGUGUUUGAAGUUGCUUUUCUGGUUGUGUUACUAACUAUUCAUUAUAGUGAAAAUACAAGAGCGAUCAGUAAUCACAUGUGUCGCCUCAUGAUGGCCAAUUUCAUGUUGGGACAAAUUUUGUGACAGACGGACAGACAGACGGACAGUGCACAACUAGACUAACCACUUUGUACUGAUCAUUCCUGUAAAGUUUGGAUAAAAUUGCACCAGUAGUUUAUGAGGAGUAGUCCGGACAAGCUUUUGUGUAUCUGGCAACACACAGAAAAAGAAACCUUUUUAUCAAAGGGCC